GAUGAACGCUAGCUACAGGCUUAACACAUGCAAGUCGCGGGGCAGCAUGGGGGUUGCUUGCCAUCCCCGAUGGCGGCCGGCGCACGGGUGAGUAACGCGUAUCCAACCUGCCCUUCACCACGGGAUAACCCGGCGAAAGUCGGACUAAUACCGUAUGUUGUCCAUUGACGGCAUCCGAUUUGGACGAAAGGCUUGGCGGUGAGGGAUGGGGAUGCGUCCGAUUAGCCAGACGGCGGGGUAACGGCCCACCGUGGCUACGAUCGGUAGGGGUUCUGAGAGGAAGGUCCCCCACACUGGAACUGAGACACGGUCCAGACUCCUACGGGAGGCAGCAGUGAGGAAUAUUGGUCAAUGGGCGUAAGCCUGAACCAGCCAAGUAGCGUGCAGGAUGACGGCCCUAUGGGUUGUAAACUGCUUUUAUGCGGGGAUAAAGUGGCCCACGUGUGGGCUUUUGCAGGUACCGCAUGAAUAAGGACCGGCUAAUUCCGUG
rnacentral:rRNA from 1 species